GCAGAAUCUGAUAAAGGACCAGUGGGCCAUCUGCCCGAGUACAUUCUUUUUCUCCCAGUAGAGACUUGCGUUGUUUUUUUAGCUAUAGAUUCAUACUGACACUAGUGAGAUGAUGCCCACUUCCUUUCCGCACAAUUUGCAAAUUACCAAUCUAGGAUGUAUCCAAAAUGAUCCCAAACUUUGCCUUGGCACAAUACAUUAGCCUCAACCCUUCGCCUUGUUGCUGCUGAAGAUGAGGGUGGCAGUAGAGGCUCCAGUAAAACUUGCUUUGGAUGACUAAUGGCAAGUCGUGGUGGUGAUAAUGACAGUGGUGAGCUAUCUAUGGCAGUGGUAGCAGAUUAUGUUCCAACCCUCUCCGUCAGAUAGAGUGAUUCAAAAG